AGGAGUAACUCUUAUAUAAGUUUGCGGUGUGGAGGGCCGGGCUCUGCGUUAUUAUCAUACUCCUCCCAUUGUGGGAGCCCUGGAGACCCCUCACAUCAGCGCUUUCCUGUUGGGCUUCGGACGUCUCCUCGAGACCAAACUACAGGCGGCGGGCUCGCGCCAGGUUCGGAGGCGCGCGGUCUUCAAAGGAAAAAGUCAAGAGUCAUUGAACCCGUACAACUGGCCUCACGGCAGAUAAUCUGAAAUGGGAGUCAGCAGUGGAUUUCUAGGUUAUGAGACGGCAGCUACUGUCACGCACAGCCCAGGGAGGGAGGAACAAAGAGGGGGCUGGAGGAGAUGAGGGGGCCAGGAGCUUCAUGAGGAACUGUAAAGACUCGGAAAGGUGGAUUUCAUGUGUCAGAGUUGUAAAGCUAAGUAACGACUGAGCUUUGCCAGAAAUAAAGGACUAA